UGCCCUUCGUUGUCAUGGAAU
ensembl:piRNA 21ur-3661 ncRNA